rnacentral:rRNA from 1 species
UCUUUAAGCAUUACUUAAUUUAAAGUAAAACCUGCUCAAUGUAAAAUAAAUAGCCGCAGUCAACUGUGCUAAGGUAGCAUAAUCACUAGCUUUUUAAUUAAAAGAUAGAAUGAAUGGUUAUAUGAAAUAUAAAUUGUUUCUAAAAUACAUAAUAAAUUUUAUAAAAAAGUAAAAAUUCUUUUAUUAUUUAGAAAGACGAUAAGACCCUAAAAAACUUACCAUUUAGCUGGGGCGGCAAAUAAAAUAACACUUAAUUUUAAAUACUUUUAAUACUAUUAAAAAUAAAAAUUAAUAGUUACUAUAGGGAUAACAGCGCUAUCUUUUUCAAAAGCCCACAUAAAAAAAAAGAUUUACGACCUCGAUGUUGAAUUAAUAUUCUCCGUUACAGAGCAACCACUACACAAGAUAGUCUGUUCGACUAUUAAAAA